rnacentral:rRNA from 1 species
GGAGUUUGGGCCGUGUCUCAGUCCCAAUGUGGCCGUCCGACCUCUCAGUCCGGCUACAGAUCGUCGCUUUGGUGGGCCGUUACCCCGCCAACUGGCUAAUCUGACGCGGGCCCAUCUCGUACCACCGGAGUUUUUCACACUGUAUCAUGCGAUACCGUGCGCUUAUGCGGUAUUAACAGUCGUUUCCAACUGUUAUCCCCCGGUACGAGGCAGGUUGCCCACGCGUUACUCACCCGUCCGCCACUAAGUUUACUCAAGCUUCGGCCGAAACCUCCGCAGCGAAUAAACUCCGUUCGACUUGCAUGUGUUAGGCACGCCGCCAGCGUUCAUC